rnacentral:rRNA from 1 species
CCUACGGGAGGCAGCAGUGGGGAAUAUUGCACAAUGGGCGAAAGCCUGAUGCAGCAACGCCGCGUGCGCGAUGAAGGCCUUCGGGUCGUAAAGCUCUUUUCUCAAGGAAGAUAAUGACGGUACUUGAGGAGGAAGCCCCGGCUAACUCCGUGCCACAAGCCGCGGUAAUAGGUAGGGGGCUAGCGUUAUCCGGAAUUACUGGGCGUAAGGGGUGCGUAGUUGGUUUCUUAAGUCAGAGGUGAGAGGCUACGGCUCAACCGUAGUAAGCCUUUGAAACUGGGGAACUUGAGUGCAGGAGAGGAGAGUGGAAUUCCUAGUGUAGCGGUGAAAUGCGUAGAUAUUAGGAGGAACACCAGUUGCGAAGGCGGCUCUCUGGACUGUAACUGACACUGAGGCACGAAAGCGUGGGGAGCAAACAGGAUUAGAUACCCCUGUAGUC